CCUACGGGAGGCAGCAGUGGGGAAUUUUGGACAAUGGGGGCAACCCUGAUCCAGCCAUUCCGCGUGAGUGAAGAAGGCCUUCGGGUUGUAAAGCUCUUUUGUUCGGGACGAAACGGUUAAGGUUAAUAACCUUGACUACUGACGGUACCGGAAGAAUAAGCACCGGCUAACUACGUGCCAGCAGCCGCGGUAAUACGUAGGGUGCGAGCGUUAAUCGGAAUUACUGGGCGUAAAGCGUGCGCAGGCGGUUUUGUAAGCCAGAUGUGAAAUCCCCGGGCUCAACCUGGGAAUGGCAUUUGGGACUGCAAGGCUAGAGUAUGGCAGAGGGGACUAGAAUUCCUGGUGCAGCAGUGAAAUGCGUAGAUAUCAGGAGGAAUACCGAUGGCGAAGGCAGGUCCCUGGGCCAAUACUGGCGCUCAUGCACGAAAGCGUGGGGAGCAAACAGGAUUAGAUACCCUGGUAGUCCACGCCCUAAACGAUGUCAACUGGUUGUUGGGGGAUUUAGUUCUCUUAGUAACGAAGCUAACGCGUGAAGUUGACCGCCUGGGAGUACGGUCGCGAAGAUUAAAACUCAAAGGAAUUGACGGCGUGAGAGUGCGACGGACGACGACGAGGAGGAGG
rnacentral:rRNA from 1 species